GCCCGCCUAGCUCAAUCGGAUAGAGCGUCAGACUCUUAUAUAGCAAUUUCAAAGCAAGUAGGCGGAUCUGAAGGCUGCGAGUUCGACCCUCGCGGUGGGCU